rnacentral:SRP_RNA from 1 species
UGUAACGAGUCGGUCCUUGCCAAGAUCGCAGUCGGCAAGGGCAGCGCCGCGCAAGUGGUGAUGUCCUGGUCGAUAAUGAUUCCCGCAUCGCCUCAGGCUGGCAACAGAGCAGGGAGAAGGGAGCGCUGUGCUCAGUGGCGGGACAGCCG